rnacentral:tRNA from 1 species
ACCGAGGUGGUGAAAUUGGUAAACACGCUACCUUGAGGUGGUAGUACCCUGUUAUUUUGGGUUUACGGGUUCAAGUCCCGUCUUCGGUACCA